rnacentral:rRNA from 1 species
AUUGAACGCUGGCGGCAUGCUUUACACAUGCAAGUCGAACGGUAACAGGGAGCUUGCUCCGCUGACGAGUGGCGAACGGGUGAGUAAUGCGUCGGAACGUGCCGAGUAGUGGGGGAUAACGCAGCGAAAGUUGUGCUAAUACCGCAUACGUACUGAGGUAGAAAGUGAGGGACCUUCGGGCCUCACGCUAUUCGAGCGGCCGACGUCUGAUUAGCUAGUAGGUGAGGUAAAGGCUCACCUAGGCGACGAUCAGUAGCGGGUCUGAGAGGAUGAUCCGCCACACUGGGACUGAGACUCGGCCCAGACACCUACGGGAGGCAGCAGUGGGGAAUUUUGGACAAUGGGCGAAAGCCUGAUCCAGCCAUGCCGCGUGUCUGAAGAAGGCCUUCGGGUUGUAAAGGACUUUUGUCGGGGAGGAAAUCCCCAGCGCUAAUACCGCUGGGGGAUGACAGUACCUGAAGAAUAAGCACCGGCUAACUACGUGCCAGCAGCCGCAGUAAAAC